rnacentral:rRNA from 1 species
GCGAACGGGUGAGUAAUGUAUCGGAACGUGCCCAGUUGUGGGGGAUAACUGCUCGAAAGAGCAGCUAAUACCGCAUACGACCUGAGGGUGAAAGCGGGGGAUCGCAAGACCUCGCGCAAUUGGAGCGGCCGAUAUCAGAUUAGGUAGUUGGUGGGGUAAAGGCUCACCAAGCCGACGAUCUGUAGCUGGUCUGAGAGGACGACCAGCCACACUGGGACUGAGACACGGCCCAGACUCCUACGGGAGGCAGCAGUGGGGAAUUUUGGACAAUGGGCGCAAGCCUGAUCCAGCCAUGCCGCGUGCGGGAAGAAGGCCUUCGGGUUGUAAACCGCUUUUGUCAGGGAAGAAAAGGCUCCUGUUAAUACCGGGGGCUCAUGACGGUAC